GGGGAAGAGCCGGCGAAGAGCAAAGAGAUAAUACAGUACUCCCAGCUAUAGCAAGCGGCAGUUAUGGAGCAUGCGCAGCAGCAGGGGCGGCCGCAGGUCGCCGUUCAAUAAUACUCAAGGGAUUUGUACAGCCCUGUAGGAGACACCUCCAGAGAAAGUAACAGCUCUCAAUUGAUUAGCUGAGGAGACCGAUUUUGUAAAUCACUACUUUUCUAACAACACUGGCACAGAUGGCCAAGCAUUCUCCCUUUUCUCAGAGCUGGUUUUCCAUCCCGGAAAGAGAAUAAACAGAUGCUUUUACAGCUCGCCUUGGCGGGAAGAUCUGGCACAAAUGAAGUAUCUAUAAGGAGCAGCAGAGUCAAGGUGGUGAUCCUGUGGAUGAA
rnacentral:lncRNA from 1 species